UGAUUUCUGCAGCCUGAGGACAGGAGUGGAUGCUGGAACAUCAGGUUUGAGACAGUAAGCUUUUUAUAUUCUAAUACCUUUCUUAAUUAACUGACUUCCCCUCUAUGGGUGCCUUCACACAAAGCAGAUAAUUGCAGAAGUGUUCUGCGAUUGAAAGUCCCGUUCCAUGUACUUGCCCAUAUAGAUGAAUGGAAGUGAGUGUCAGGAGAUCCUGCAACAAGAUCUACAGCGUAUGAAGGCACCCCAAUUGUCACAGGUCAAUACAACCAAUUGUGUUUCACACAGUACUCAGCAAGGUGCCCCCCAGGACAGCACAUAUUAUACAUGGUCUACAGCAGCAC